UUAUUGAGCAGGUUGGCGAAGGUGAUGAAGGCUUCGGCCUCCUCCAGGUUGAGGAUCAGCACAGCAGCGAUGAAUGACAUGCCCUGGACCUGAAACACCACAACAACAAAGACUCCAGCUCAGCAUGAAAGAUGGACUACACCAUCGCUGUGCAUGUGGCAGCCUUAGGUUCUCCUCGGUUAAUCCUCUGCUUGUUUUAUACAUUUUUCAACACGCACACACCAUUUACACCCUCCAUGCACACCUUACACUACUGAUUUUCACACUCCAUACCUUUUGAUCCUUUGUUUUGUAUAUUUUACCCUCUUCUUGUUAAAUAAAUGAAUUGAUUUAAAUGUUA